AUUGCGCGCGACCCGGCGGCGGGACAGGCUUGCUGCUUCCUCCUCCUCGGCCUCACCGUUUUUGCCAAUCCAGAAGACUGUGUAGCAUUUGGCAAAGGAGAAAAUGCCAAGAAGUAUCUUCGAACAGAUGACAGAGUAGAACGUGUACGCAGGGCACAGGAGAUCUUAGGCCCAGAAAGGCAGAUUCAGAAGAACCUACAUGUAAAUGAGACUGGAGUGGAAAUGAGAAUGGCAGGAAAUGCAUGGAAACAGACUUGUAACUGUCUCAUGGCCUGGUCGUCCGAAUCCCAGAGUAGGUUAGCCUGACUGUGCUAUCACAGCAUAGGAGCAAGACAGGAAAUGGAACUGUAUAAAUCUCCUUUCAAGAGUCUGCAGUCAUUACAUCCACCAACAUGCCCUUGGCCAGAGAAAGUCACAGGGCUGGCCUCAGAAUUAAAGUGCUGGGAAAUGGACUCAACUCCCUCAGGGAGAUGAACUGCAAAGUCACAUGGCACAGGGGCACGGAUGCACAGAGGGAUGAAAAUUUAGGCCACUUAUACAGUCAAUCUAUUGCACUUGUCCGCUUUGUUAUGCUAGUAUGAGUUUCAAUUCAGACACAUGUAAAAGCAUUUUAUAAACUUUAUGACAUUAUGCAAUUAAAACAGCAUUUAUUCUAAUGUGUCAUAAUUUUAUCAGAUUAGUGGUAAUCUGUGAUAUGCUCAGUAUGAGAGCAAUAGUUACAAACUAAGUAAAAAACACAAUACAGGGUUUGUGAACUUGGCCUUCUCCCUCUCAUUUGCAAUGUGCUGCCUUAGGAAGACAGAUGGGACAAGGAACAAAUAUUUGGACAGCCUUAUCGCCUCUAUAACCAAGUUGGUUCCCAAACUGUGCCCAGUCUGUUCUCUUGAAAUUAUAAUAUGCACCCUGCUCCCAACCAAGUGUUUCAUCAAAUUU
rnacentral:sRNA from 1 species